GGAGCCAGUCCUGAUUAAUAUGUGGGACUUAGUGAGGCAUCAGGGAGUAAGUGAGACUUUGAACUCCUCGAGGGCAGAGAACUGUCUUGCAUUUUUGAAACCUCAGUGUACACAGAGGCGUGUCUAUAACAGGCAUUCAACAAACAUUUCUUGAGCUUGACCAAGGUCAAAUUUGAAAAGAACAGAAGGACUAAAGACCAGCUGUGUUUCUUGACUAAAGUUGUCUUUUACGUCAAACCAGCUUCCUUUAUCUCUAAGGCUGAGGAUAGGGAAGGGGUGGAUGCUCUCAGGCUGAGGGAGGCAGAAAGGGAAAGCAUUGGCAUGUGCCUUCCAGUUAGGGCUGUUGAUUUAUGCUUCAGCUUCAGAGUGGGUGUAGGGGCGGCGAAGCUACCAUUACUGUGAGAACCUGCCAGUGUGGCUGGAGCAGGGGACUCUCUCCCAGGCCUUGUACUCCUCAGCACCUCCCUGCAUACUGAUCGUUGUUUUUAGUUUCUGCAAAAUUCUAUUCAUGAAAUGAAAAUAGUGCACUUUACUUUACUGUAGUUUCAUAAGGUGUUAUACAAAAAAGCAAGUAAAUAUGGCAGAAAAGCAUUCGUUUGCCCCUGCUCCCUCAAAACACCACAUAAUGACAUAGAACUAAAGGUGGCAGGAAUCUAGAAGAAUGAAGAAAACACAGUGAUGCCACCUGCAAAAUCUUGGGAGCCAGAAAGCAAAUGGACAACUGAUAAUAGAGUUACAAGAUGAGAGAAAAAAAAAUGUAACCUGUUAGUUGGGGAGCCUAGAAACGUCCUGUUUUGUACCACAGACCCCUGGAAAGGUCAAGAUGUAAAAACACUGGGUCCUUCUGGAAGGAGGAGGCAAGGGCACAGAGGGACUGAAGACAGAGGAAUGGGCCAAAAGCCUGUAUGGAAACAGAAUUGCAGAGCCCUGCCUGCAGCAGGAUGGCUGCCUUUCCCCAGUUCCAGCAAGAGACUGAAUACUCCCCCUCUGAGGAGGCUCACAGGGAGGUAUGCACUGAGACACAAGGUGCAGUUGAAGGGGCAGCUAACAUGCAAGAGACAGGGGGACUGAGUGUAAAGCUGUGUAUGAACAAAAGAACUUCCAGCCCCUCUCCUCUGGCAGGAGAUUGAAGAAUGAUUUUCUGGGGAAACUGGCCAAUCUAAGAGGUUGGGCCAGGUGCUGUGGCUCACGCCUGUAAUCCCACCACUUUGGGAGGCCGAGGCGGGCAGAUCACGAGGUCAGGAGAUCGAGACCAUCCUGGCUAAUACGGUGAAACCCCAUCUCUACUAAAAAUAUAAAAAAAUUAGCCGGGCAUAGUGGUAGGCGCCUGUAGUUCCAGCCACUCGGGAGACUGAAGCAGGAGAAUGGCGUGAACCCAGGAAUCAGAGCUUGCAGGGAGCCGAGAUCACGUCACUGCACUCCAGCCUGGGCGACAGAGCGAAAAAAAAAAAAAAA
rnacentral:lncRNA from 1 species